rnacentral:rRNA from 1 species
CCAAAGUGCGAAUGCUGACAUGAGUAGCGUUAAAGGGGGUGAAAAGCCCCCUCGCCGUAAGCGCAAGGUUUCCUACGCAACGUUCAUCGGCGUAGGGUGAGUCGGCCCCUAAGGCGAGGCAGAGAUGCGUAGCUGAUGGGAAACAGGUCAAUAUUCCUGUACCGAUUACAAGUGCGAUGUGGGGACGGAUCUUAAUAGGUUAUCCGGCGGUUGGAUGUGCCGGUUUAGACAGAAGUAGGCGACACGUAGGCAAAUCCGCGUGUCAUAUACCGAGGCUGUUGAUCGAGCGAGCUUGCUCGCGAAGUAACUGAACGAGGUCCCAGGAAAAGCCACUAAGCUUCAGCUUGUAAUUGACCGUACCGCAAACCGACACUGGUGCGCGAGAUGAGUAUUCUAAGGCGCUUGAGAGAACUCAGGAGAAGGAACUCGGCAAACUGACACCGUGACUUCGGAAGAAGGUGUGCCCUAGUAAUGUGAUGAGAACAUCUGAGCAUGAAUGGGUUGCAAAAAAUUGGUGGCUGCGACUGUUUAUUAAAAACACAGCACUCUGCAAACACGAAAGUGGACGUAUAGGGUGUGACGCCUGCCCGGUGCUGGAAGAUUAAUUGAUGGGGUGCAAGCUCUUGAUCGAAGUCCCAGUAAACGGCGGCCGUAACAAUAACGGUCCUAAGGUAGCGAAAUUCCUUGUCGGGUAAGUUCCGACCUGCACGAAUGGCGUAACGAUGGCCACACUGUCUCCUCCUGAGACUCAGCGAAGUUGAAAUGUUUGUGAUGAUGCAAUCUCCCCGCGGAAAGACGGAAAGACCCCAUGAACCUUUACUGUAGCUUUGUAUUGGACUUUGAACAGAUCUGUGUAGGAUAGGUGGGAGGCUUUGAAGCAGGGUCGCUAGAUCUUGUGGAGCCAACGUUGAAAUACCACCCUGGUGUGUUUGAGGUUCUAACCUAGGUCCAUUAUCUGGAUCGGGGACAGUGCAUGGUAGGCAGUUUGACUGGGGCGGUCUCCUCCCAAAGCGUAACGGAGGAGUUCGAAGGUACGCUAGUUACGGUCGGACAUCGUGACGAUAGUGCAAUGGCAUAAGCGUGCUUAACUGCGAGACUGACAAGUCGAGCAGAUGCGAAAGCAGGACAUAGUGAUCCGGUGGUUCUGUAUGGAAGGGCCAUCGCUCAACGGAUAAAAGGUACUCUGGGGAUAACAGGCUGAUACCGCCCAAGAGUUCAUAUCGACGGCGGUGUUUGGCACCUCGAUGUCGGCUCAUCUCAUCCUGGGGCUGUAGCCGGUCCCAAGGGUAUGGCUGUUCGCCAUUUAAAGAGGUACGUGAGCUGGGUUUAAAACGUCGUGAGACAGUUUGGUCCCUAUCUUCCGUGGGCGCUGCAGAUUUGAGGAAGCCUGCUCCUAGUACGAGAGGACCGGAGUGGACGCACCUCUGGUGUACCGGUUGUCACGCCAGUGGCAUUGCCGGGUAGCUAAGUGCGGAAGAGAUAACCGCUGAAAGCAUCUAAGCGGGAAACUCGUUCCAAGAUGAGAUCUGCCGGGGCCUUGAGCCCCCUAAAGAGUCGUUCAAGACCAGGACGUUGAUAGGUCAGGUGUGGAAGCGCAGCAAUGCGUUAAGCUAACUGAUACUAAUUGCUCGUGCGGCUUGACC